GCGCACUAGGGUAUCUAGUGUAUGUAUAUCUAUGGUCGGCACGUCUGGUAGCAUCUCUGGCUGCUGUUGAUCUUGUUUUUGGAGUAAAACACGGUGGAAGCUGAAUUAGUGAGGAUGACUCCUGCUCCUGUCAUCUCUAAGCUCCUCACACAUCUUUACCUGCACAUGAGGAAAUCACUCCUGUAGAAUGCAGAUGUUCAGAGGGAGAUGAUGCCACAUCUGGUCCAGCUGAUGGAAGGUCUUGAAGUUCUCUGACUGGCCUCUACUGAAGAUGGUCGUCUCACUGGAUUUAAGGUUCAGAUGCUCAGUAACAAACUCCACCAAUGAGCCAACAGGGAAGCUGUAGGUUUAUUAAAUGUUGCUAUGAAGGUAUCGCUGUUUUUCUUUGUGAAUGCAAUGUGCUCCAACUGAAACUUGAAUUAGAACUUAGAAGUAAAUCCUUCCAUCUGAAAACUGUGAUGGUGUUGGAUUGUCAGACCGUAAUGUUGCAGCUCAAAGCAGCUUUUCUAUCUCAGUUCAUUCUGACAUUCAGCUAUGAAUCAACACAGCAGAUGGUGAUCCAUGCUGUGGAAGUCUCACAUCUCCUGAUUUAAUGGAGCUGCUUUGCACUUUUUACACUGUUUAUUCACAAACACUUUAUUUAAUAAAAGUCCCAUCUAGUUUUUAUGAGGAAUGUGAUGUUUUCAUUUCUCUGUGAAUAACUGCAGUCUAAUGGAACAGCUGGAGUUGUAACAUCUGUCCUGAUAUUGAUCAUGAAGUAUUGAUCAGAAUACUUAUGGUCAGCAGUCAUCCCUGAAGUUUUACAUUAAAAUCUUUACUUGUGUUGUGAACUUUGGUAAGAAGCAGAAACGUUAGCGUUGCCAUGGAUACAUGAGUGUUAAAUUCUGUCCAUGUUUCCAUUUUGGGAAAUGCAGUCCAGUUCCAGAAUGUGGAGGAAUUUAGUCUCACAAUCACAGACAACAAAUAUUAUCUGAAAGUCGGGUUAUUGUUGUUUAUCAGCACAAUACAAAAAGAUUCAUGUUAGAAAUAUUCCAGUUAAGACUCCAGAAUAUCAUGAUUUAUGUAAAUUUACCUCAAUAAUAUGAAUGUUCAGGUUAAGAUUGUGCAGUGAUAUUUAUUAUGUAAGUUUAGCUGAUUAAAGUUUAUGACUCUGCACCACAAUAUUAUUUAUUAUUUAGAUUUACAUCGUUAUUAUAAUAUUUAGGGUCAGACUCUACAGUAUUGAGAUUAAGAAAUCAAAUAUUCUAUAAAAUGUAAAUACACUGAACUUAUUUGGAUAUAUUUAAGUGAGACUCUACAAUAUUAUUUAUGACACAAAUCUGUCUAAAUCAAAAUUUUAAUCAUUUUUACUCCAAACAUUUACUGGACUGAUUUAAAUAUUAAAAUCACUCCUUUCUAAUCCUCUGCUGUACUUUCAAACCUGAGGCCUUAAAUAGAAACACACAAGUAUCUGAUUGAAGGAACUUCUGCAGAGUCCUGGUUCCAGAACAUGAUGAUAGAAUUAUAGACAAACUUUAACAAAAGCUGCCUGAGAGUUUACAGGUUUUUAUGUUGGAUUUCUUCAGUAAUUUAAUGAGUUAUCAGCAAAAAUCAAGUGUUCAUUUGAUGAACUUCAUUUCCUAAAACAUACAGAAUUGGAGCUCAUAUCUUUGGCAGCUGUAAAGUUUCUGCUUCUUCAAAGUUCACAACACAAUGAAUGAAUUCCUAAAACACUCUCAAUGCUGGAGAGCGUUUGAUGCUGAAGCAGUGACCAGUUUUUCUGUUUCUUCUCUGGAGAUGCACAAUGAGGGACGUCUGCAGAGACUGAGAAAGAGUCUCACCACAUCCUUACAUGAGGAAAAAGACUUUAUUGAAGACUACAAUGAGAAAAACUAUCAGACAGCAGACGGCAUGCAUUCAAGGUGAGCUCUGAACAUUUGAUCUGGAACAGGAAUUCAAUAAUGGCAGCAUGAGCUUCAUUUCAGUCUGUAGCUGCUGAAUUCAUGGAUGAAUCAUCUGGCACUAGAGAGGAAGACCAUCAAACAUCCACGUCAGCUGAUGGAGGUCCAAGAGUCUCACCCAACAAACAACCUACAGAGUGAAGACCUUGAAUCUGAUUGGAUGGCCUCCUAUUCAGCCACGUGUGAACAAAUGCCUCUAAGCUGAUUUGUUUUCUAAAAUAAAUCUGGUUUGAGUCCUAA